GAUUGUAUAAGCUCCUUGGUGUAACCUGUUCUUUUAAAGGCAUCAUAUACAGAUGGCAGUAUAUAAGUAAGGUAAAGAUAAAGGGACCCCUGACCAUUAGGUCCAGUCGUAAUUUGGGGUUGUGGCGCUCAUCUCGCUUUAUUGGCCGAGGGAGCCGGCGUACAGUUUCCGGGUCACGUGGCCAGCAUGACUAAGCCGCUUCUGGCAAACCAGAGCAGUGCACGGAAACGCCAUUUACCUUCCUGUCGGAGUGGUACCUAUUUAUCUACUUGCACUUCGUGCUUUCGAACUGCUAGGUUGGCAGGAGCAGGGACCAAGCAAUGGGAGCUCACCCCGUUGCGGGGAUUUGAACUCCCGACCUUCUGAUCGGCAAGUCCUAGGCUCUGUGGUUUAACCCACAGCACCACCCAUGUCCCUUUUAGUAUAUAAGUAAUGGUGCCCUAAAUAGCCUGGGCCUAGAAAGCCUUGAGGACCUGCCUGGCUCCUGAGGCUAACCAUGGAGACUGCACUCUCAGUUCAGUUAUGUGGGGCUGGGUGUGCAAGCAUGAAAGAGAAGGGGUAGGAUCCACCCCUUGAAAAUGGAACUAAUUCUGUUGCAGGUGAAUUCAGAAUUCAUUCAUGCGGUCCAUUCUGCUUAUGCACCAAUAAGUUUGGGGGGAAACCCUGGUUCUUUUCAGUGGUUGUGCUGUGGCCUUGGAAUGACUGUCCAACCAGUGGAUUCUGGUCCAUUAGGAUGAAUGAGGCCAAGGUCAAUCUGCCCUCAGCCAGCCCCCACCUGCCUGCCUUAUUCCUUGCAUCCAGUCUAGGAGGUGACACUGGCUGCCAGUUUUCUCCUCCUUGCUCUCAGUAUUGCCCUUGUACUUCCGGGAAGGUUAGGGGCAAAACUAGAAUAGUUUGGCUCUAAUUGUCAUUGUCUCUGGCUUCAGUUACACUUGGGCUCCCGGCUUUUCUCGUAUUUCAUUAUUGAGCUUGUGUAUUUCUCUUCGUUAUGUAUGUGGCUCUGGGUGCAACUGCAGAAAAGGAGAAUAUAAAUAAAACGUUAGGAAUGGCUUUUAUGACACUUGUGGGACAUUCCAAUACCAUGCCAAAUAAUGGUUAGGGUGAAACACAACCGACCAAUAAAUUCUUCUGCGGCAGUGGCAUGGAAAUGAACAAAAGCUGAGUGAGACCACUAUGAAGUUUUGUUUGGAGGGAAAAAAUCAGCCAAACAAGACAGAAAGGCAGCGGGUUGGAAUUUACUUCCUUUCAAGUCUCCAGACCUCACCCUUGCCAACAUUGGCAUACGUGACUAUCAAUGCUGCUCCAAUCAUUAACAUGGCUUUCGCUGAAGGAUUUACGGCAGGUAUUUUCACACACCCAGUUGCAACAUGGGUCAGAUAAGCCUGAACUGUGCCUGGGAACAGAUUGCGAGUCUCAGCAAGUUAAGGACCUGAGUUGGUUGAAGCAUCAGGGGCAGAUAUUUAAAGGCAGCAUCUUUUGCAAGCCAAACACUUGGGGCCAGGGUAUAUAAGGAACUGGACUGCCUUACCUAUAUCCCUGCCCUGCCCAGUACAGAAACUGGGCGUUUAGGUGUUGCUUCAGCUUUUUCGAAUCAGUCAUCAGUCAAAAUUAAACAGGCACCUCAUAUAACGAUAUUAAGAUGCCUGCUAAAGAUUUUUGUUUGUUUAAGAGGGCUACCUAGAGGUGUGGUCCAGUCACUUAUGGAACAAUUAUAUAUCAGAUGAAAUUGCUUUAAUGUUUUUAGAGUUUGCCGAACUCAUUUUGUCAUUUUUAGAACUUGUGUUUUCAUGGCUUAUUCUGUUUUUAAUCUUGUUUUUAUCUUGUACACAGCUUUGAUGGCUUUGUGCUAUGAAGCGGUCUGUACAUUUGUUAACAACAAUUAAUAAUGUAACAACAACAUCUGGAACUGGGUAAGCAGCCCUGUUGGGGCAACAAUUGUUACAGAGAACGAAAAACAAGCGGUACAAUAUGGUCUGUGACCCUGGUUUGUGGGCAAAUAAUCGUUUCCUGGGUUCAGACAAAAUUGCAAACUGUGGUUUGCAGCAAACAGACAGAAUGUUCUUUGCACAUAAGGGGGAGAGGGCUGAUAGGAGGAAGCACAUGAGCCCAAGGCUUGCCCUUGCUCAUUAUCUAAACCAUUCCCCCACUCUCAUAAUACUAGAAGCUAGGGUCAUCCAGUGAAGUUGAAUGGUGAAAGAAACAGCGCACACAAAAGGAAGUACAUAAUGUAAUUAAUGGAACAUGCUGCAUCGAACAAGCUGUGAUGGUCACUAGCCUUGAUCACUUCAAAAGGGAAUUAUACAUACUAAAGAGAGGAUAAGACCUUGGGUCCCUAUAAUGUAGUUGGACUACAAUUCCCACCAUCUCCAGCCAGCUUUGACAAUGGUCAGAGCUGAUGAGUUUUGAAGUCCAGCAACAUCCAGGGACCAAAACCUGAAGGAUACUGGUAUAGAUCAAGAGUUCCCAAACUGUGGUCUGCAGAUCACCAGUGGUCCACAAGCUAAAUUCAAGUGACUGAUAGCUGCCUCAGUAUGCUCCAAAAUACUUUUCUGUCUGACCCCUGGGCAAAACUGCUUUGAGGAGCUUUGUUCUCCACCCGCCUCCCCACCAAUCAUGAGGUUAUAUGAAUUGUAUGAAAUAAAUAAAUGCUAAUACUUUCUGCCAAAUGUGCAUUUAGACCCAUCCUCAACAGGGUGACAUUAUUUUGGUAGGGCUCUUGAAGUAGCCACAAUAAUUUUUUUUUUAUCAUUGUUUGUGUUGUGAAGCAAAUCCCUAAAUCAGAACUUAAUUAUGGAAUUAAAAGCUAACAUCAGCUCUGCAGAGAAAUUCUCAGAUGGCCAAUGGAUGGCUUAGUUGCAUUCAAAGGUGAAACAUUGAUUUAGAGGGUGCUUAAAACUUUAAGAAACCCCACCUGUUUCUAACCAAAAUUAAUUGGUUUCCAACCAAGUUUAUGCAGUAGAUAACAGGAACAGAGCUUAGAAGCUAUAUUUAACAGGCUUAUUGGCUUGUAAUUUUUUUGGAUUUCUUUUUUUUAAAGACCACACUACACAACCUGCCUAGGGUUAAAAUAGCUGUCGAAUAAUUAAAAUGGGUAAAUAAUUUAGCAAGGGUGGGGGAAGCGUUAUUUAGGAAUGGUUAUAAAUAACUCAGGAAUAGCAUAUCAUCACUUUACACUUUCAGCAAGUAUGUUGUUUUGAAUGUUUAUCAAAUAUAUGUGUAACCAGCAAAAAGACACACGCUAUUUGAACUUCAUAUGUGGUUACUCCAUUCCAUUAGUGUUCCAUUACUAUUCUUAAUUGUGUAAUUGUUUCUAUUGAUAAUUGUUAUAUCCAAUCUAUGUUUAUCCACUUCUUCCUCUGGCCCUGAGGAUCUCAGAGUGCCAAUAUAUUCUUACUCCAGAGCAUAUUUGGGGGGCGGGCAGUUGCUACAGGAGCUCAGACACUCUUUUCAUCACUGGACUUGUCCUUUAUCCUACUUUUCCUAUAGUCCACCAAUGUCCUGUUAUAAGCUUGCCACUGGGACCUUUUUGUCCCAGCCUCUGACUCUAGUCUCUCUGUUUCUCAUUUCCUUAUUAUUUGCUCUGUGAAUUUCCCCCUUUCUCUUCUCACCUUUAUUUCGAAGCUGCUUUAGAGGGCUCCACCCUUUUAUCUCUGUUCCUCUAAAUUGCUCCCUCUGCACACAGGGUAGAAUGGGUCCUGACAAUUCUUCUGCUUCUCUCCGGCCUCCUGAUGUUCCCAGUUUUGUUAAGUUGUGGGUGACCAUAUCAGACGACACAGCGAUUCUUCAGACAGCUCUUGUUUAUUCACAGGCCAGAACGAAACUGAACUGAAGGGCUCAGCCAACCUGCUUAUAUAGAGCUCAGCUACAAGCAACAGUAACAACUUUCUGUAACUAUCCAAUCACUGAACGUCACUUUCAAUUCCUUAUUUGCAAAUGUGGACCUGAGUGAAAACUAUCUACAGUAUCCCCCUGCUGGCCCAGGGUGAGAACUUCAGUACAUAACAAGUUUCCUUCCUUCCUCC